UUGUUAAUUGCAGUGACUAAUUGUGUUUGUGUGUGAAGUUUGUUGAGCCAAACAUUCAGCUGCUGCUCAAUGAACAACACCAAGACCCUUUACCUGUGUCCCAGCUGAAGGUAUUCUACAGUGCAGCAGCUGAGGGAUUCCCUUAUCAAACCACCAUAGAGGACUGUUUCUCUGGCAUACGGCUGAAUCUGGGAGGGUUACUGAAUUCAUCUCCUGUAACCGAGUGGAGACGUCUUUCAUCGUGCCACAUUAUUACGUGCAAACCAUUACAACGGUAACCUGUACUUACCUGUAUGUGGCUGCAGAUGGACAAUGUACACCUCCACUUGGGAGUGGGAUCAGGACGACUCUGAGGAGAGUGAUCAGUGCCUUAACCCAGAGGAGAUGGAGGUGUCCUUUAUUUGCUGACUGACAUCGGCCUGAAGGUGCCUGCUGUCCGCGAGGCGUUCGCUGUGAGUUAAACCUUUAUUCAGCUGCUGUUAUUGCACAGGAUGCAGUUGGUGUGCAGUUGGCCUACGAGGCCCUGAUUCGAUUCCUGAGGACGCCUUCCAAUCAGGAAUCGAUUAAAGCAGAGCUCUCUGGGUCCACCACUACAACUUCCUGGAUGUUUUUUAUGAACUGAUUCUCUUCAGCUGCUUUAAGAAUGGCUGAACACCUCAUCCAGUAAGUGUCUUAUCAGGAGAUUUUGCUUGAAUUAAGAACAUUGAAUUAAGAAUUUCAGAACAUGGUCUAUUUUAUCUCAUUUUGUUUUCCCAUAUUUGUAACCCUGAUUAGACAUUAGGGAUGCAACAAUACAGUUAACCCACGGUUCAAUACGUACCGCGGUUUUUAACCACGGUUUUCUUUUCGGUUCGGUUCGGAUGG